UCGGCUUAGAGUUUGAUCAUGGCUCAGGACGAACGCUGGCGGCAUGCCUAAUACAUGCAAGUCGAACGAGUGCUUGCACAGUGGCGAACUGGUGAGUAACACGUGGGAAAUCUGCCCAGAAGCAGGGGAUAACACUUGGAAACAGGUGCUAAUACCGUAUAGCAACAAAUCCGCAUGGAUUUUGUUGAAAGGUGUUCGUAUCACUUCUGGAUGAUCCCGCGGCGUAUUAGUUAGUUGGUGAGGUAAAGGCCCACCAAGACGAUGAUACGUAGCCGACCUGAGAGGGUAAUCGGCCACAUUGGGACUGAGACACGGCCCAAACUCCUACGGGAGGCAGCAGUAGGGAAUCUUCCACAAUGGACGAAAGUCUGAUGGAGCAAUGCCGCGUGAGUGAAGAAGGGUUUCGGCUCGUAAAACUCUGUUGUUAAAGAAGAACACCUUUGAGGUAAUUCAAGGGUUGACGGUAUUUAACCAGAAAGCCACGGCUAACUACGUGCCAGCAGCCGCGGUAAUACGUAGGUGGCAAGCGUUGUCCGGAUUUAUUGGGCGUAAAGCGAGCGCAGCGGUUUUUUAAGUCUGAUGUGAAAGCCUUCGGCUUAACCGGAGAAGUGCAUCGGAAACUGGGAGACUUGAGUGCAGAAGAGGACAGUGGAACUCCAUGUGUA
rnacentral:rRNA from 1 species